rnacentral:tRNA from 1 species
ACCUCUGUAGCUCAACGGAUAGAGCGCUCUUCUGACGAAGGCAGAGGUUGCGGGUUCGAAUCCCGCCAGAGGUA